AGCGAACGCUGGCGGCAGGCCUAACACAUGCAAGUCGAACGAACUCUUCGGAGUUAGUGGCGGACGGGUGAGUAACACGUGGGAACGUGCCUUAGGUUCGGAGUAACUCAGGGAAACUUGUGCUAAUACCGAAUGUGCCCUUUGGGGGAAAGAUUUAUCGCCUUUAGAGCGGCCCGCGUCUGAUUAGCUAGUUGGUGAGGUAAAGGCUCACCAAGGCGACGAUCAGUAGCUGGUCUGAGAGGAUGAUCAGCCACACUGGGACUGAGACACGGCCCAAACUCCUACGGGAGGCAGCAGUGGGGAAUCUUGCGCAAUGGGCGAAAGCCUGACGCAGCCAUGCCGCGUGAAUGAUGAAGGUCUUAGGAUUGUAAAAUUCUUUCACCGGGGACGAUAAUGACGGUACCCGGAGAAGAAGCCCCGGCUAACUUCGUGCCAGCAGCCGCAGUAAAAC
rnacentral:rRNA from 1 species